rnacentral:rRNA from 1 species
CAGCCGCCACGGGAAAACGAAGGGGGCUAGCGUUGCUCGGAAUGACUGGGCGUAAAGGGCGCGUAGGCGGAUGGCACAGUCAGAUGUGAAAUUCCCUGGCUUAACCUGGGGGCUGCAUUUGAUACGUGUUGUCUAGGGUGAGGAAGAGGGUCGUGGAAUUCCCAGUGUAGAGGUGAAAUUCGUAGAUAUUGGGAAGAACACCGGUGGCGAAGGCGGCGACCUGGUCCUUGACUGACGCUGAGGCGCGAAAGCGUGGGGAGCAAACAGGAUUAGAUACCCGCGUAGUCCCUGUCUCUUAUAC